AGAGUUUGAUCCUGGCUCAGGACGAACGCUGGCGGCGUGCCUAACACAUGCAAGUCGAGCGGUAAGGCCCUUCGGGGUACACGAGCGGCGAACGGGUGAGUAAGACGUGGGUAACCUGCCCUGCACUCUGGGAUAACCCCGGGAAACCGGGGCUAAUACCGGAUAGGACUUCCUGCCGCAUGGUGGGGGGUGGAAAGCUCCGGCGGUGCGGGAUGGGCCCGCGGCCUAUCAGCUAGUUGGUGGGGUGAUGGCCUACCAAGGCGACGACGGGUAGCCGGCCUGAGAGGGCGACCGGCCACACUGGGACUGAGACACGGCCCAGACUCCUACGGGAGGCAGCAGUGGGGAAUCUUGCGCAAUGGGCGAAAGCCUGACGCAGCGACGCCGCGUGAGGGAUGCAAGGCCUUCGGG
rnacentral:rRNA from 1 species